CGUAAAGCGCAUGCAGGCGGCCUGUUAAGUCAGAUGUGAAAGCCCGGGGCUUAACCUCGGAAUUGCAUUUGAAACUGGCAGGCUAGAGUCUUGUAGAGGGGGUAGAAUUUCAGGUGUAGCGGUGAAAAUGCGUAGAGAUCUGAAGGAAUACCAGUGGCGAAGGCGGCCCCCUGGACAAAGACUGACGCUCAGAUGCGAAAGCGUGGGGAGCAAACAGGAUUAGAUACCCUGGUAG
rnacentral:rRNA from 1 species